rnacentral:rRNA from 1 species
CACGUAGGGCGCAAGCGUUGUCCGGAAUUAUUGGGCGUAAAGAGCUCGUAGGCGGUCUGUUGCGUCCGCUGUGAAAACCCGGGGCUUAACCCCUGGCUUGCAGUGGAUACGGACAGACUAGAGGUAGGUAGGGGAGAAUGGAAUUCCCGGUGUAGCGGUGAAAUGCGCAGAUAUCGGGAGGAACACCGGUGGCGAAGGCGGUUCUCUGGGCCUUACCUGACGCUGAGGAGCGAAAGCGUGGGGAGCGAAACAGG